rnacentral:rRNA from 1 species
GUUUCCGAGGGUGAACCUGCGGAAGGAUC